ACCUGGCUGGCUGAGUUGGUAGAGCAUAGGGCUCUUGAUCCUCGGGGUCAUGAGUUCAAACCCCAUGUUGGGCA
rnacentral:tRNA from 1 species